rnacentral:rRNA from 1 species
CGCCGCGUGAGGGAUGACGGCCUUCGGGUUGUAAACCUCUUUUAGCAGGGAAGAAGCGAAAGUGACGGUACCUGCAGAAAAAGCGCCGGCUAACUACGUGCCAGCAGCCGCGGUAAUACGUAGGGCGCAAGCGUUAUCCGGAAUUAUUGGGCGUAAAGAGCUCGUAGGCGGUUUGUCGCGUCUGCUGUGAAAUCCCGAGGCUCAACUUCGGGUCUGCAGUGGGUACGGGCAGACUAGAGUGCGGUAGGGGAGAUUGGAAUUCCUGGUGUAGCGGUGGAAUGCGCAGAUAUCAAGAGGAACACCGAUGGCGAAGGCAGAUCUCUGGGCCGUAACUGACGCUGAGGAGCGAAAGGGUGGGGAGCAAACAGGCUUAGAUACCCUGGUAGUCCACCCCGUAAACGUUGGGAACUAGUUGUGGGGUCCAUUCCACGGAUUCCGUGACGCAGCUUACGCAUUAAGUUCCCCGCCUGGGGAGUACGGCCGCAAGGCUAAAACUCAAAGGAAUUGACGGGGACCCGCACAAGCGGCGGAGCAUGCGGAUUAAUUCGAUGCAACGCGAAGAACCUUACCAAGGCUUGACAUAUACGAGAACGCUGCAGAAAUGUACAACUCUUUGGACACU